rnacentral:tRNA from 1 species
GGAUGGGUUCCCGAGUGGCCAAAGGGGCCGGACUGUAAAUCCGCUGCAUAUUUGCUUCGAAGGUUCGAAUCCUUCCCCAUCCA